rnacentral:rRNA from 1 species
UACGUAGGGGGCAAGCGUUGUCCGGAUUUAUUGGGCGUAAAGAGCGUGUAGGCGGCCAAGCAGGUCUGCUGUGAAAACUCGAGGCUCAACCUCGAGACGUCGGUGGAAACCGUUUGGCUAGAGUCCGGAAGAGGAGAGUGGAAUUCCUGGUGUAGCGGUGAAAUGCGUAGAUAUCAGGAGGAACACCUGCGGUGUAGACGGCUUUCUGGACCAUUGCUGACGCUGAGACACGAAAGCGUGGGUAGCAAACAGG